AACGAACGCUGGCGGCAGGCCUAACACAUGCAAGUCGAGCGAGGACUUCGGUCCUAGCGGCGGACGGGUGAGUAACGCGUGGGAACGUGCCCUUUGCUUCGGAAUAGCCCUGGGAAACUGGGAGUAAUACCGGAUGAGCCCUUUGGGGGAAAGAUUUAUCGGCGAAGGAUCGGCCCGCGUUGGAUUAGGUAGUUGGUGGGGUAAUGGCCUACCAAGCCGACGAUCCAUAGCUGGUUUGAGAGGAUGAUCAGCCACACUGGGACUGAGACACGGCCCAGACUCCUACGGGAGGCAGCAGUGGGGAAUCUCAGACAAUGGGGGAAACCCUGAUCUAGCCAUGCCGCGUGAGCGAUGAAGGCCUUAGGGUUGUAAAGCUCUUUCAGCUGGGAAGAUAAUGACGGUACCAGCAGAAGAAGCCCCGGCUAACUCCGUG
rnacentral:rRNA from 1 species